AUUGAACGCUGGCGGCAGGCUUAACACAUGCAAGUCGAGCGGAGUGAUGGUGCUUGCACUAUCACUUAGCGGCGGACGGGUGAGUAAUGCUUAGGAAUCUGCCUAUUAGUGGGGGACAACAUCUCGAAAGGGAUGCUAAUACCGCAUACGUCCUACGGGAGAAAGCAGGGGAUCACUUGUGACCUUGCGCUAAUAGAUGAGCCUAAGUCGGAUUAGCUAGUUGGUGGGGUAAAGGCCUACCAAGGCGACGAUCUGUAGCGGGUCUGAGAGGAUGAUCCGCCACACUGGGACUGAGACACGGCCCAGACUCCUACGGGAGGCAGCAGUGGGGAAUAUUGGACAAGGGGGGGAACCCUGAUCCGGCCAUGCCGCGUGUGUGAAGAAGGCCUUAUGGUUGUAAAGCACUUUAAGCGAGGAGGAGGCUCUUUUGGUUAAUACCCAAGAUGAGUGGACGUUACUCGCAGAAUAAGCACCGGCUAACUCUGUGCCAGCCGCCGCAGUAA
rnacentral:rRNA from 1 species